rnacentral:lncRNA from 1 species
CCGGUCCCACAUGAAGCUUCCCAUUCUUCUUCGCUAGCUACCGCCAUUGAUGAGGUUUUUAAACUACAUCCUUGAAAGAAAAAUUACUGCUUAUUUUUUGGGUUUAACUAAAAAAGCUGCUAUUAUCUAAAGGCUAGUGUGCUAGGAUAAGGUCCGAUAGCAAGGUGUGCGGUGGAUGAUAGCCGAGAUGGUACACAGGUUAACUAUAAGCUUCUGUACUAAAAC